AGUGAACGCUGGCGGUAGGCCUAACACAUGCAAGUCGAACGGCAGCACAGUAAGAGCUUGCUCUUACGGGUGGCGAGUGGCGGACGGGUGAGGAAUACAUCGGCAUCUACUUUUUCGUGGGGGAGAACGUAGGGAAACUUACGCUAAUACCGCAUACGACCUACGGGUGAAAGCAGGGGAUCUUCGGACCUUGCGCGAUUGAAUGAGCCGGUGUCGGAUUAGCUAGUUGGCGGGGUAAAGGCCCACCAAGGCGACGAUCCGUAGCUGGUCUGAGAGGAUGAUCAGCCACACUGGAACUGAGACACGGUCCAGACUCCUACGGGAGGCAGCAGUGGGGAAUAUUGGACAAUGGGCGCAAGCCUGAUCCAGCCAUACCGCGUGGGUGAAGAAGGCCUUCGGGUUGUAAAGCCCUUUUGUUGGGAAAGAAAAGCAGCAGGUUAAUACCCCGCUGUUCUGACGGUACCCAAAGAAUAAGCACCGGCUAACUUCGUG
rnacentral:rRNA from 1 species